rnacentral:rRNA from 1 species
CCUACGGGCGGCAGCAGUGAGGAAUAUUGGUCAAUGGACGAGAGUCUGAACCAGCCAAGUAGCGUGAAGGAUGACUGCCCUAUGGGUUGUAAACUUCUUUUAUAUGGGAAUAAAACGUUCCACGUGUGGGAUUUUGUAUGUACCAUAUGAAUAAGGAUUGGCUAACUCCGUGCCAGCAGCCGCGGUAAUACGGAGGAUCCGAGCGUUAUCCGGAUUUAUUGGGUUUAAAGGGAGCGUAGGUGGAUUGUUAAGUCAGUUGUGAAAGUUUGCGGCUCAACCGUAAAAUUGCAGUUGAAACUGGCAGUCUUGAGUACAGUAGAGGUGGGCGGAAUUCGUGGUGUAGCGGUGAAAUGCUUAGAUAUCACGAAGAACUCCGAUUGCGAAGGCAGUUCACUGGACUGCAACUGACACUGAGGCUCGAAAGUGUGGGUAUCAAACAGGAUUAGAUACCCCUGUAGUC